rnacentral:rRNA from 1 species
GGAGUCUGGUCCGUGUCUCAGUACCAGUGUGGGGGACCUUCCUCUCAGAACCCCUACUGAUCGUCGGCCAGGUGGGCCGUUACCCCGCCUGCAACCUAAUCAGACGCAUCCCCAUCCCAUAGCGGUGAAACCUUUGUUCCUCAUUAGAUGCCUGCAAAGGAAAACAUAGGGUAUUAAUCCGCAUUUCUACGGGCUAUCCCUGAGUGAUGGGAAGGUUGGAUACGCGUUACUCACCCGUGCGCCGGUCGCCAUCUAUCAAAGCAAGCUUCGAUAAUGCUGCCCCUCGACUUGCAUGUGUUAAGCCUGUAGCUAGCGUUCAUC